GCCUCCAGCAUUUCAUUGAUUACACUUUAGGUUUUCCUACCCCAGCACUGCUUCCUGCAGAGGCUCUGUCUCAGUUUUCCAGCUGGGACAUAGUUUUUCUUCUGUCUUUGCACAUGGAUUCCAACUUACACCAUCAGCUCGCCUGCUUCUCAGACUUUCAGACUCAGAUGGAACUAUACUAUAGGUUCUCCUGGGUCUGGACUUCUCAGCCUCCAUAAUCAUACAGACUGUUGUGCAGACUCAGGCAGCUCACUCGGGGCUGGGCAGCAGACAGUGAUUAUCAUCACCCCCUGCUUUCAUCCAUUACAGCGGGUGUUAGCAGAUGUGGGAUUUGAGACCCAAAGAAGUGAAGUAACCUGCCCAAGUUUACACAGCUUGGAGUAGUACCCGAGUUUCUAUGGACUCCAGAGCUCAUGAGUUCACCACUUCACUCUGUGCCUCCUAACUCUAUGCCCCUGAGGACUCGGAGGGAGCCAGUGCUAAUGCUUUCUCCAGUUUCUCUCCUCUUGUGUGAACUGUGUGAACUGCCACUUUAAGACUCUUUUGGAGAAUCAUAAUCCAAGUUGCAAAGUCCAACAAUUCCUCUGGAGAAAUGGUUCUCAACUGGGGGCAAAUUUGGGCCCCAGGAGACAUAUGGCAAUGUCUGAUGAUGUUUUUUUUAAUUGUUACAAACAGGCUGGGGAGAGAUUCCUGCUAGCAUCUAGUUGGUAGAUGCCAGGGAUGCUGCUGAACAGCCUGCAGGAUACCCCCCACCCCAUCAAAAGAUUCUCUGACCCAAAACGUCAAUGGUACUGAGGUUGAAAAACCCUGCUCUGGA
rnacentral:lncRNA from 1 species